rnacentral:rRNA from 1 species
AGCGCAGGUGGUUGUAUAAGUCUGAAGUAAAAGGCAGUGGCUCAACCAUUGUGUGCUUUGGAAACUGUACAACUUGAGUGCAGAAGGGGAGAGUGGAAUUCCAUGUGUAGCGGUGAAAUGCGUAGAUAUAUGGAGGAACACCGGUGGCGAAGGCGGCUUGCUGGGCCUUUACUGACGCUGAGGCUCGAAAGCGUGGGAGCAAACA